GGUGACUUUGAGAAGACACUAUUUGACUGAGCGUGCUAACUUCCUGCUAACUCUCUGGCCUCUGGACCAAGUGAUCCACGUCCAUUGCCCCAGUUCCCCUUCGUUCCUUGGUGUCCACUGCUUAGGAACAGAGGUGGCUAUGGUCAGCACACACCUAACCCCAAGCUUCAUCUUUCUAGCUGGCCUGGCUGCACCUGACAUUGAUGCUCAACCCUUCUUCACCUAACUGCCUCCACGCUGCCUGUGUGCCACACUCUGGGUUCUCCUUGUCUACGUGGGUUCCUCUUGCUUCUCGAACUUCAGUGUGAGUUCACCUCGAGGUCUCUCUCCUGCAAUGAUCGUUUGGAAUCAUUCUUUGGAGAUUUUUACCCGCUUACAAGUUUCAGCGUGCUGAUAAACUGUGAUCUUGGUUGGCUGCCUUUCCUGACUGUCUGCUGCCACAUCUUCUUACCAUCACGGAUGCUUCAUCUCAAGCUGGAAGCCAAACUCAACUCUUUCUCCUGUAAGUCACUUUUGGUCACAGUAUUUUAUUACACAAUUGAAAACUAACACAAUGUGUGGAGGAGGAGGAUCAGAGAACACAGAGCAUCAUGAAGCCAGUUCUCUCCUCCCUCUUUACACAGGUCCCAGAGAGCAAACUCAAGCCACCAGACUUCCCAACAAGAACCUCUAUUCACGAAUCCGUUUCACUCACUGGCCUCCAAAAACUAUAUUCUAUUAAUGUUUUAACUGAUACAAUAAGUAUACAUAUUUAUGGGAUAGACUAUCAAUGUUUAACAUAUAUAUAUACAAUGUGUAAUAAGGGUAGUUAACAUUCCUUUUAUUAAGCAUUAAUUAAUUAUCUGUAUUAAGAAUCCUAAAAUUCUUCUUUCCUAUUCUUUUUAAGAAACAUAAGUUGUUGUGAAUUGCAUUCACCCUGAGACGAUGUAAGACAUUAGAACUUAUAUUCCUCUAAUGUAGCUCUAUUUUGGAGCCCAUUGUCUGUCCUCCCUCUAUACUCUCUCCCCCACCACAUGAGAAUUUUUAAGUAGUUAGAAUUUAAGCACCAGAAAGCUACGAAGUCCUUCUCACCCCAGAAUAGACUAUUAUGUAAACGUCUAGAAUUAUCAUCCAUUUCUUACCAAAGUCAUGAUAUAAUAACUACCUCUCUGAAUUGAGAUAUUAAAACAAUGUAAGGAGGAGAGAGUUUUAUUCAGAUGUUGGCAGUAAGGUCUAUGCUAUUAAUGAUGAGAAAUAUAAAUUACUGGCUCCUUAAGAAUCAUCCCUUAAAGAUGUAAAUGUGCUUCUUGAUCCGCUCUCAGAUUCCCACGGCAACAGACGCAGCUCUGAACGUUAUCCAGUGGUUCACAUUGAGAAGCAACGGUACUAACCACAGCCAAACAGUUUAUUAAGUCUCAUAUAUACUUUUCAUGUCAUUAAAUUUUUUGGAAUACAAA